rnacentral:rRNA from 1 species
GCCAAGCAGCCGCGGUAAUUCCAGCUCCAAUAGCGUAUAUUAAAGUUGUUGCAGUUAGAACGCUCGUAGUCGGAUUUCGGGGCAGUCCGACCGGUCUGCCGAUGGGUAUGCACUGGCCGGAGUGUCCUUUUUGCCGGAGACCGUGCCUACUCUUAACUGAGCGGGGGCGGGAGACGGCACUUUUACUUUGAAAAAAUCAGAGUGUUUCAAGCAGGCAGCUCGCUCUUGCAUGGAUUAGCAUGGGAUAAUGAAAUAGGACUUUGGUGCUAUUUUGUUGGUUUCGAACACCGAAGUAAUGAUGAGAAGGGACAGUCAGGGGCACUCGUAUUCCGCAGAGAGAGGUGAAAUUCUCAGACCCGCGGAAGACGAACCACUGCGAAAGCAUUUGCCAGGGAUGUUUUCACUGAUCAAGAACGAAAGUUAGGGGAUCGAAGAUGAUCAGAUACCGUCGUAGUCUUAACCAUAAACCAUGCCGACUAGGGAUUGGAGGAUGUUCACUGAUUGACUCCUUCAGCACCUUACGGGAAACUAAAGUCUUUGGGUUCCGGGGGGAGUAUGGUCGCAAGGCUGAAACUUAAAGGAAUUGACGGAAGGGCACCACCAGGUGUGGAGCCUGCGGCUUAAUUUGACUCAACACGGGGAAACUUACCAGGUCCAGACAUUGUGAGGAUUGACAGAUUGAGAGCUCUUUCUUGAUUCGAUGGGUGGUGGUGCAUGGCCGUUCUUAGUUGGUGGAGUGAUUUGUCUGGUUAAUUCCGUUAACGAACGAGACCUUAGCCUGCUAAAUAGUGACGCGAACUCUUUGUUGGCGGUCCACUUCUUAGAGGGACAACUUGUCUUCAACAAGUGGAAGUUUGAGGCAAUAACAGGUCUGUGAUGC